rnacentral:tRNA from 1 species
GAAUUUUGUAGCACAGAUGGUAGAGCGCUCGCUUAGCAUGCGAGAGGCACCGGGAUCGAUGCCCGGCGCCUCCA